rnacentral:rRNA from 1 species
UACGUAGGCAGCAAGCGUUGUUCGGAAUUACUGGGCGUAAAGAGUGUGUAGGCGGUGCUCUAAGUUUGGUGUGAAAUCUCCCGGCUCAACCGGGAGGCUGCAUCGAAUACUGGAAUGCUAGAGGGUGGGAGAGGUAAGCGGAAUUCCUGGUGUAGCGGUGAAAUGCGUAGAUAUCAGGAGGAACACCUGUGGUGUAGACAGCUUACUGGACCACUUCUGACGCUGAGACAC